GUAGGUGGCAAGCGUUGUCCGGGAAUUAUUGGGGCGUAAAGCGCGCGCAGGCGGUUCUUUAAGUCUGAUGUGAAAGCCCACGGGCUCAACCGUGGAGGGUCAUUGGAAACUGGAGAACUUGAGUACAGAAGAGGAAAGCGGAAUUCCACGUGUAGCGGUGGAAUGCGUAGAGAUGUGGAGGAACACCAGUGGCGAAGGCGGCUUUCUGGUCUGUAACUGACGCUGAGGCGCGAAAGCGUGGGGAGCAAACAGGAUUAGAUACCCUGGUAGUCCACGCCGUAAACGAUGAGUGCUAAGUGUUAGGGGGUUUCCGCCCCUUAGUGCUGCAGCUAACGCAUUAAGCACUCCGCCUGGGGAGUACGGCCGCAAAGGCUGA
rnacentral:rRNA from 1 species